rnacentral:rRNA from 1 species
UACGUAGGAGGCGAGCGUUGUCCGGAAUUAUUGGGCGUAAAGAGCUCGUAGGCGGUCUGUCGCGUCGGCUGUGAAAACCCGAGGCUCAACCUCGGGCCUGCAGUCGAUACGGGCAAACUAGAGUACUGCAGGGGAGACUGGAAUUCCUGGUGUAGCGGUGAAAUGCGCAGAUAUCAGGAGGAACACCGGUGGCGAAGGCGGGUCUCUGGGCAGUAACUGACGCUGAGGAGCGAAAGCGUGGGGAGCGAACAGG